rnacentral:rRNA from 1 species
ACGAACGCUGGCGGCGUGCCUAACACAUGCAAGUCGCACGAGAAAUCCUGGGCAACCGGGAAAGUAAAGUGGCGCACGGGUGAGUAACGCGUGGGUAACCUGCCCUUGAGUUGGGGAUAACCCCGCGAAAGCGGGGCUAAUACCGAAUAAUAUGUCAGUCUCUAUGGGGAUUGAAAUCAAAGGUAGCCUCUGCGUGCAAGCUAUUGCUCAAGGAUGGGCCCGCGUACCAUUAGCUUGUUGGUAGGGUAAUGGCCUACCAAGGCAACGAUGGUUAGCUG